CGACGAGGUGGCAAAAAAAGACUUUUGAAAUUUUUAAAAUUGUGAUAAAAAAUUGAUAUUGAAAAUGUUAAAAAAACCUAAGUGUAGUCUGAUUUCUACUGUAUGUGCAGUGUCCAUGCUGAAAUGAGUUAGCUGAAGAGGGGCUGAUGCCCGAAACGUUGAUGUAUGGAAAAAACGUUCUAACUAAAUAAAAGAUUCAACUAGCCCA